rnacentral:rRNA from 1 species
AGUCGACGGAGUGCCCAUGACAGAGGAUUCGUCCAAUGGAUUGGGUUACUUAGUGGCGGACGGGUGAGUAACGCGUGAGGAACCUGCCUCGGAGUGGGGAAUAACACAACGAAAGCUGUGCUAAUACCGCAUGAUACAGUUGGGUCGCAUGACUCUGACUGUCAAAGAUUUAUCGCUCUGAGAUGGCCUCGCGUCUGAUUAGCUAGUUGGUGGGGUAACGGCCCACCAAGGCGACGAUCAGUAGCCGGACUGAGAGGUUGACCGGCCACAUUGGGACUGAGACACGGCCCAGACUCCUACGGGAGGCAGCAGUGGGGAAUAUUGGGCAAUGGGCGCAAGCCUGACCCAGCAACGCCGCGUGAAGGAAGAAGGCUUUCGGGUUGUAAACUUCUUUUCUCAAGGACGAAGCAAGUGACGGUACCUGAGGAAUAAGCCACGGCUAACUACGUGCCAGCAGCCGCGGUAAUACGUAGGUGGCAAGCGUUAUCCGGAUUUACUGGGUGUAAAGGGCGUGUAGGCGGGAUCGCAAGUCAGAUGUGAAAACUGGAGGCUCAACCUCCAGCCUGCAUUUGAAACUGUGGUUCUUGAGUACUGGAGAGGCAGACGGAAUUCCUAGUGUAGCGGUGAAAUGCG